AUGAGUUUUUUUAACAUUAAUCAAGUCUUACAAAAAGCUUUGGCCCAAGAGAGUCGAAGUAAAGAGGUUCAUAGGUCUACAACCGAUCGUCCUAGAAUGCAUAUGGUUGAACACAAUGAUGAUAAUUCGGACGAUGAGGUUGAUGUCUAUACUACUGAAUUUGUUUGGUCCUCAAAGGCCAAACUCUAUAUGUGCAAUGCUCUUAAGCCGAGUCGCAAGAAUCAUGAUGACGAGAUGAGGUUUACUUUUGAUAUAUCAAAGUGUGAUAAAAUAUUUGAUGCUCUCUUGCAAGAUAAGAUUAUUAGAAUAUCGCACACCAUACCGCCGUUUGACGAGCUGAAACGUCGUGCUUAUUGCAAGUACCAUAAUUCAUUUUCCCAUGCUACUAACGAUUGCAAUGUUUUUCGUCGACAGAUACAAUCGGCCAUUAAUGACAGACGAUUGAAUUUUGCUGAGAUGCAAGUUGAUAAACAACCCUUCCCGAUAAACACCAUGGACUUGGAGGGAAAGAAAAUGUUGAUUCGGCCUAGCAUAGCCGAAUUUGCUAAUAAAGAUAAUGUUGUUAUUGGUGAACCCAGGAAAGGCAAGGAGGGCGACAAAGUCUUGGGACGAGAGGUUGUGCUUGAUAAGCAACCCGAUGGCAAAGAAGUAUUGAAGAUCACCAUAAAAAAUCCUUCACUUGGGGGGCAACCACAAGUACAAGAAGAUACUCAAGUUAGAUUUAUCAAGCCCAAGAAUUCAGAAGUUGGCAAGUGGGAAAAGAGUGAAGCUAAGCGCAAGCGAAUCAGGCCAACUUUUGAUAUGUUGCUAUCCAAAUAUGCAAGUCAAGCGGCCGGUUCUUGUUCUAAUCGGUCAUCACAUUCAAAGCGUUCAAGGUUGCCUCCGGAGCAAGAGUUUCGACGCUAUGCAAGGCCAUAUGGGUCAUGGGCACCGACAUGGAUGUCACAACCCUCCUAUGCACCAUAUUACAUGAGAGACUUCAAUGGAGGAUGGUGGCAGCACCCAAUGGCUCCUUAUGCUUUUCAUAUGGGGUGGGCGGCGCCUAGAAGGCCUGCUCGCAAUAGGCUUUAUUAUCCCACACAAGGUCGUUUGAGCUAUGGUGCUAAUCGGCCAACAAAAAUUUCUCCAAGUAAGGCCAACAAAAAAGUGUGGCGUGUUAAGUCACGUAAUGCGGAAAUUGCAGAAUGUGACAAGCAAAAGGAGAUCAAAAAGGCGGUUGUUGGUAAUCUGGCUACUUCUAAUUGUGAUAUUGUUAUUGUUCAGCAGGGUUCCAUGGUUAGUGAUCAUGAGGCAAGCACAAGCAGGGCCAAACCAAGGGAUCCCAAAUAUACGCAACCUAAGUGGUGUCCUCCCGGUUUAACCAAGAACAUGAAAAGGAGAUUACAACGCAUGAGGAACCACGAGAAGGUAGAGCACGAAGAGGAGAGGCAAAGGGACGAAUUGUUAAGUGAAAUUCGGCCCAUGGCACUCACAAAACAAGUGUGGAGGCCUAAACAAAAACAAAACACAGAUGCUUCUACAUUAGCUGCAGCAACACCUUCACCACCAAAAGAGGAUGAUGCGACUACUAUUAUAUCAUUCACACCACCUGAAAAAUCCCCUUCAAUUGAGGAAACUUUAAGCCCAAUAUACACAUUGGGGGAUGAAGAUGAGAUGGUGGAUUACGACUCUACGCCGGUUCGGGAAGGUAUGGAUAUUAAUAUGGUGUAUUACUUACCUGCCGAGUUUCGUGCUAUAGGUGAAGAAGGGGAGGUGGCUCAACUGGAUUUUGGUCCAAAGAACACUAUCUUCGAGAAGCCAAAAGAAUCAGUGAAACACUUGAAGCCAUUGUACCUCAAUGGUCAUAUUAACGGACCGCCGGUUGCUAGGAUGCUCGUUGAUGGUGGUGCUGUGGUAAAUCUUAUGCCCUACUCGGUCUUCAAGAAGUUGGGAUUAGAUAAUGAUGCAAUGAUGAAGACCAAUAUGGUACUUAAUGGAUUUGAGGGUAAAGAAAAGACAGAGGCCAAGGGUGUGAUGUGCAUGGAACUCACUGUGGGAAGCAAAACUUUGUCCACCACAUUCUUCAUCGCCAAGGUGCAAGUGGGUCGAUGA
rnacentral:rRNA from 1 species